UCGUUGUCCGAGGUAAAUUCUUGGAUUUACGAAAGAGAAACUUCUGCGAAAGCAUUCGGCAAGGGG
rnacentral:rRNA from 15 species